GAUGAACGCUGGCGGCGUGCCUAAUACAUGCAAGUCGAGCGAACAGACGAGGAGCUUGCUCCUCUGACGUUAGCGGCGGACGGGUGAGUAACACGUGGAUAACCUACCUAUAAGACUGGGAUAACUUCGGGAAACCGGAGCUAAUACCGGAUAAUAUAUUGAACCGCAUGGUUCAAUAGUGAAAGACGGUUUUGCUGUCACUUAUAGAUGGAUCCGCGCUGCAUUAGCUAGUUGGUAAGGUAACGGCUUACCAAGGCAACGAUGCGUAGCCGACCGGAGAGGGUGAUCGGCCACACUGGAACUGAGACACGGUCCAGACGCCUACGGGAGGCAGCAGUAGGGAAUCUUCCGCAAUGGGCGAAAGCCUGACGGAGCAACGCCGCGUGAGUGAUGAAGGUCUUCGGAUCGUAAAACUCGGUUAUUAGGGAAGAACAAAUGUGUAAGUAACUGUGCACGUCUUGACGGUACCUAAUCAGAAAGCAACGGCUAACUACGUG
rnacentral:rRNA from 1 species